rnacentral:tRNA from 2 species
AACUUUUAAAGGAUAACAGUCAAUCCACUGGUCUUAGGA